CAAACCCUUCUCUGCUAAUAUUGCCGUUAUUUAUUGCCCCAUUGGUUCCCCUCUCCUCUUCCUUGACCAUUUUGCUGCCUGGCUACCCUACUGUAAGGUUUCGACCAGUGUUGUCUUUAUCAAGCUUGAUAAAGACCACACUGUUCGAAACAUUGCUUUGUACAUUCUGGUGACAAUAAAUUGCCUGAAAUUGAACCUUUGGAGUGCCCUUAUCCUUUCUUUUGAAGUAUUACAUUUGGGAUUUGGUGCUGAACCCGGAUCUGGUUGCACCCUGGUUCUAAGGUUGGAAGAUUGAGUGCAGUUCCUGUGUUACAUUG